rnacentral:rRNA from 1 species
UGAGGAACAUGACCUUCGGCGGGGGAUAGCCGGCCCAACGGCCGGGUAAUACCGCGUACGACCACAUGGGGACAUCCCUGAGUGGUGAAAGCAGCAAUGCGCCGAUGGAGUGCCUCGCGGCCUAUCAGCUAGUUGGUGAGGUAACGGCUCACCAAGGCGACGACGGGUAGCUGGUCUGAGAGGAUGGCCAGCCCACUAGUUGGGACUGAGACACCGGCCCAGACCUGACGGGAG